rnacentral:lncRNA from 1 species
GCCGCAAUAGCAAUAAGUAGACUUUCGGGAUAUAGAAAAAUUUACAUGAAUGGAAUCAAAAUUUCUAGGUGAAUUCAGUGAGUUCCCAAUGGGACAUGCUUGUAUGAGUGUGCUUUCAAGAUAUAUAACCAUUUUAACGAACGGAAUCUAAGUAUCAUGGUGAAUUCAGUAGGUUCCCCAUAUGAUUCGCAUGUAAUAAGAGUACUAUUCAAGGUAGAGCAAAGUUUUAACGAACUGAAACACCGUUUCUUUGUGAAUUCAGUUAGUUUCCAUUAGCAGGCUCUUGUAAUAUGUGUACUUUUAAAGAUUUAUCACAAUUUCUUGUGUCGAAUCUCAAUAAUUUGUUUAAUUCAGUUAGUUCCCACAGCCGCAAUAGUAAUAAAGAGAGUUUAGGGAUAUAGAAAAAUUUUCGCGAAUGGAAUCAAAAUUUCUAGGCGAGAUCCCAAUGGGACAUGCUUGUAUGAGUGUGCUUUUCAACAUAUAGCAACAUUUUAAGGAACGGAAUCUAAGUAUCAUGGUGAAUUCAGUAGGUUCCCAAUAGGAUUCGCAUGUAAUAAGCUUGUUAUUCAAGAUAGAGCAAAGUUUUAACGAACUGAAACACUGUUUCUUUGUGAAUUCAGUUAGGUCCCAGUAGCAGGCUCUUGUAGUAUGUGUACUUUUAAAGAUUUAUCAAAAUUUCGUGAGCCGAAUCUCAGUAACUUGGUGAAUUCAGUUAGUUCUUACUAAGCCGCAAAAGUAAUAAGUGGACUGUUCGGAAUAUAGAAAAAUUUUCAAGAACUGAAUCAAAAUUUCUAGGCGAAUUCAGUGAGUUCCGAAUGGGACAUGCUUGUAUGAGUGUGCUUUUCAAUAUAUAGCAACAUUUUAAGGAACAGAAUCUAAGUAUCAUGGUGAAUUCAGGAGGUACCCAAUAGGAUUCGCAUGUAAUAAGCUUGUUCUCGAUAUAGAGCAACGUUUUAACGAACUGAAACACUGUUUCUUUGUGAAUUCAGUUAGUUCCCAGUAGCAGGCUCUUGUAAUAUGUGUACUUUUAAAGAUUUAUCAAAAUUUCGUGAGCCGAAUCUCAGUAAGUUGGUGAAUUCAGUUAGUUCGCUAUAGGCCGCAAUAGCAAUAAGUAGACUUUCGGGAUAUAGAAAAAUUUACAUGAAUGGAAUCAAAAUUUCUAGGUGAAUUCAGUGAGUUCCCAAUGGGACAUGCUUGUAUGAGUGUGCUUUCAAGAUAUAUAACC